rnacentral:misc_RNA from 1 species
ACCCAAAAGGGCCCCCCACACAUUAGCGUCCUUUCCCCCAAGCCCUCCCAUCUUCUCAUCUAUAAACUUUUCAGCUUCCUCUACCAUGCCCGAUCUCGCCAAAUCAACAAUGCAAGCAUAAUGCUCAACCUGAGGUUUAACCCCGUACACACUACCCAUUUUUGCAAACAAAUCAAGGCCAUUUUUAACCAUCUUAGCAUGGG